GCGGGGGUAGAUCAGUGGUAGAUCUUCAGCCUUCCAAGCUGAUAGCGCGGGUUCGAUUCCCGUCCCCCGCU
rnacentral:tRNA from 2 species